rnacentral:rRNA from 1 species
UACGAAGGGGGCUAGCGUUGCUCGGAAUCACUGGGCGUAAAGGGCGCGUAGGCGGCGUUUUAAGUCGGGGGUGAAAGCCCGUGGCUCAACCACAGAAUGGCCUUCGAUACUGGGACGCUUGAGUAUGGUAGAGGUUGGUGGAACUGCGAGUGUAGAGGUGAAAUUCGUAGAUAUUCGCAAGAACACCGGUGGCGAAGGCGGCCAACUGGACCAUUACUGACGCUGAGGCGCGACAGCGUGGGGAGCAAACAGG